GAUGAAGAACGCAGCGAAAUGCGAUAAGUAAUGUGAAUUGCAGAAUUCAGUGAAUCAUCGAAUCUUUGAACGCACCUUGCGCCCUUUGGCCAUUCCGAAGGGCAUGCCUGUCCGAGCGUCAUUACAACCCUCAAGCUCAGCUUGGUGUUGGGCCCCGCCGCCCCGGCGGGCCCUAAAGUCAGUGGCGGUGCCGUCCGGCUCCGAGCGUAGUAAUUCUUCUCGCUCUGGAGGUCCGGUCGUGUGCUCGCCAGCAACCCCCAAUUUUUUUCAGGUUGACCUCGGAUCAGGUAGGGAUACCCGCUGAACUUAAGCAUAUCAAUAAGCGGAGGA
rnacentral:misc_RNA from 1 species